rnacentral:rRNA from 1 species
AUACGGAGGCUCCAAGCGUUAUCCGGAUUCAUUGGGUUUAAAGGGUCCGCAGGCGGGAAAAUAAGUCAGUGGUGAAAGCCUACAGCUCAACUGUAGAACUGCCAUUGAAACUGUUUUUCUUGAGUAUAGAUGAAGUGGGCGGAAUAUAUCAUGUAGCGGUGAAAUGCAUAGAUAUGAUAUAGAACACCGAUUGCGAAGGCAGCUCACUAAACUAUUACUGACGCUCAGGGACGAAAGCGUGGGGAGCGAACAGGAUUAGAUACCCUAGUAGUCC